GCAGAAGAAUCACUUAAACCCGGGAGGCAGAGGUUGCAGUGAGCCGAGAUCACACCAUUGCACUCCAGCCUGGGCAACAAGAGUGAAACUCCAUCUCAAAAACAAAACAAAACAAAACAAAAAACACCAAAAAGAUCUCAAAUUAGCAACCUAAAUUUACAAUUUAGGCAACUAGAAAAGAAAAAAAACAAACAAACCCAUCAAAAAGUGGACAAAGUAUAUGAACAGACACUUCUCAAAAGAAGACAUUUAUGCAGCCAAAAGACACAUGAAAAAAUGCUCAUCAUCACUGGUCAUCAGAGAAAUGCAAAUCAAAACCACAAUGAGAUAUCAUCUCACACCAGUUAGAAUGGUGAUCAUUAAAAAGUCAUGAAACAACAGGUGCUGGAGAGGAUGUGGAGAA
rnacentral:lncRNA from 1 species